GGUUCAAAUUUGAUCAAUUGUGUAGGUUAGUUCAUUGUGUUUGGCGUGAGAUAGCAGCAUCAAAGCUGUACCUGGACUUGCAAAAGCCAGUAGAAAAUAUGAUAUUGAACAAUUGAAUCAGAUGAGAGCAGCUUAGACGUUAAAAGUUUUAUUCCAUUAGGCCAAUUGGAGUAUUUGAUUUGUUAUGUUUGGCAUCUUGUAUUUUUAGUACUUCUUUGAUUGGGUGGCAUUUAGGAUAGGAAGGGGAAAGAGUUUCCUACCAUAGGAAAGUUGAUUUUAGCCAUUAGAUUAAAUCAAGUACAUACUAUUAUCAUACACUCUCAACACAAUAUAUUUUUCAUACAAUCUUCCUCCAGCUAGGUCCCACUGCUUCUUCCCUCUCUCCGCUACAAUCUCCUCUCUCAUGCUUUCUUUCCAUGGUCUUCGACCUGCAAGCUCACCGGCGCCGAUACCGGUUCCGGCGAUGGUGACGGUUUUGGAUUGAAACGGUUGAAAAACAACCACAUUCAUCAUCAACAUUUUUUUUUUAUUUCUACAAAAAAAAACCCAACAAAUUUGGGCUAUCAACAAAUUUCAGAUCUGAGUUUUUUAAACUAGCAAUUAUUCUAGGAAAGUUGUUUUAACAUUAUUGCGUUGAAAUGGGUGAAGUUACAAGCAUAAGAAAUUUCCAAGAGCAACCUCGUUCAAGAGCCAUUGCAAUUUGAAGUUCAUUGAAAACUGUCAUGGGCACCUUUGUUUGAAGCUAUAAAGAUUGUUUUUUCUAACUUUUUUUUAAAUUACAACUCAUGAAAUUGUUUUUAAUAAUUGGUUCCAUAAAAAAAACAUGCUUCCUAAUUGCAACACGUGAAGAAUUGGUUUGAAUCUUUAAUUUUAAAUUUUUGGGUAUUUUUUGAAAAACAACAUGGUGAAGAUGAAAAUGGAUUGUAGUUUCAUGGUGGAUGAGAUGCUAGUGUAUGGAGGAGAGAGAAGGAUGGUGAGGUGAGCGAGUGAAGUUGGAGACAGAUCGAGAAAAAAUAUAGUGUAUGUAGACCAUAGUAAGCUUAGUAUUCUUAUUUGAUCCUAUGAUCCAAAUCGAUUUUCCUAUGGUGGGAAACUCUUUCCCCUUCCCACCCUAAAUGCCACCCUUUGAUUGUUGUUAAAUCAUUCUUUAAUAUUAAAUUGUAAAAUUAAUAAUUAAUAUAG
rnacentral:lncRNA from 1 species